AGGACGAACGCUGGCGGCGUGCUUAACACAUGCAAGUCGAGCGGAAAGGCCCUUCGGGGUACUCGAGCGGCGAACGGGUGAGUAACACGUGAGUAAUCUGCCCCUAGCUCUGGGAUAGCUCCGGGAAACCGGGAUUAAUACCAGAUACGACCACUUUAGACAUCUGCUGUGGUGGAAAGAAUUUCGGCUAGGGAUGAGCUCGCGGCCUAUCAGCUUGUUGGUGAGGUAACGGCUCACCAAGGCGACGACGGGUAGCCGGCCUGAGAGGGCGACCGGCCACACUGGGACUGAGACACGGCCCAGACUCCUACGGGAGGCAGCAGUGGGGAAUAUUGCGCAAUGGGCGAAAGCCUGACGCAGCGACGCCGCGUGGGGGAUGAAGGCCUUCGGGUUCGUAACCCUUUCAGCAGGGACGAAGCGAAAGUGACGGUACUGCAGAAGAAGCGCCGGCUAACUACGUGCCAGCAGCCGCGGUAA
rnacentral:rRNA from 1 species